rnacentral:rRNA from 1 species
UACAGAGGGUGCAAGCGUUGUUCGGAAUCAUUGGGCGUAAAGCGCGCGUAGGCGGUUACUUAUGUCGGAUGUGAAAGCCCUCGGCUUAACUGAGGAAGUGCAUUCGAAACUGGGUAGCUAGAGUACUAAAGAGGGUCGCGGAAUUCCCGGUGUAGAGGUGAAAUUCGUAGAUAUCGGGAGGAACACCGGUGGCGAAGGCGGCGACCUGGGUAGAUACUGACGCUGAGGCGCGAAAGCGUGGGGAGCAAACAGG